rnacentral:rRNA from 1 species
AUUGAACGCUGGCGGCAUGCCUUACACAUGCAAGUCGAACGGCAGCACGGGUGCUUGCACCUGGUGGCGAGUGGCGAACGGGUGAGUAAUACAUCGGAACGUACCUUAUCGUGGGGGAUAACGCAGCGAAAGCUGUGCUAAUACCGCAUACGCCCUGAGGGGGAAAGCGGGGGAUCGCAAGACCUCGCGCGAUUAGAGCGGCCGAUGCCUGAUUAGCUAGUUGGUGGGGUAAAAGCCCACCAAGGCGACGAUCAGUAGCUGGUCUGAGAGGACGAUCAGCCACAGUGGGACAGAGACACGGCCCAGACUCCUACGGGAGGCAGCAGUGGGGAAUUUUGGACAAUGGGGGCAACCCUGAUCCAGCAAUGCCGCGUGAGUGAAGAAGGCCUUCGGGUUGUAAAGCUCUUUUGUCAGGGAAGAAACACCGGCUCUAACACAGUCCGGGAAUGACGGUACCUGAAGAAUAAGCACCGGCUAACUACGUGCCAGCCGCCGCAGUAA